rnacentral:rRNA from 1 species
UACGGAGGGAGCUAGCGUUGUUCGGAAUUACUGGGCGUAAAGCGCACGUAGGCGGCUUUUUAAGUCAGGGGUGAAAUCCCUCGGCUUAACCGGGGAACUGCGUCCGAUACUGGAUGGCUUGAGUUCGGGAGAGGGAUGCGGAAUUCCAGGUGUAGCGGUGAAAUGCGUAGAUAUCUGGAGGAACACCGGUGGCGAAGGCGGCAUCCUGGACCGAUACUGACGCUGAGGAGCGAAAGCCAGGGGAGCAAACGGG